GGGGGAAGAGGAGCCGUAGGCGCCAUCACCCAGCUUCCUGGUUUCAGUCAUGAUUUUUUUUUUGAGACGGAGUUUCGCUCUUUUUGCCCAGGCUGGAGUGCAAUGGCGCCAUCUCGGCUCACUGCAGCCUCCGCCUCCCGGUUUGAAGGGAUUCUCCGGCCUCAGUCCGCCGUGUUUUUAUAAAUUAGAACGGGCCUAUGCGUCAAGCGCGGGUCUCGCGGCUGCGGAGAGAGGCCCAGCAGGGGGCGGGGACGCCAGGAGGCAGGGCCUGGCCGAACUGCGCACGCCCUGUGGUUCUGGCUACGGGUGCCCGGACCUGCCCAACAACUCUUCUCCAUUCGCGACCUCCAAACCCCUACCCGGUCCGCAGGGCACUUUCCUCCGCUCUCUCAGGCACGUCCUUGACCUCAGUUGCCACGUGCACAUGCUGGUGCCUUCCAGGCUGGAGUAUAGUGGCAUGAUCAUAGAUCACUGCAGCCUCAAACUCCUGGGCUCAAGCAAUCCUCCCACCUCAGCCUCCAUAUAGCUGGUGGGGAUCAAGUUUCUAACACAUGAAUCUUGGGAGACACAUUCAGACCAUCACAGUGGCCUUAUAAAAAGAGACACAAGGGCUUGCUCUCUGCCAUGUGAGUAUACCACAAGAAGACUGUCCUCAGCAAAUCAGAGAGCAGGUGGACCCUCAUCAGACACCAGAUGUGCCUGCACCUUUAUCUUGGACUUGCCAGCCUUCAGAACAGUAAGAAAGAAAUGUGUGUUGUUUAAGCCGCCCAGUCUAUGGAAACUUGUUAUAGCACCCCACUAAGAGACCCCAAGAUAUUUAAAAACUCAUCAGCACCUGCCUUCUGCAUCUGGAUCCUGAUCUUCUGGCGGGUUUACCAGUUACUUGCAGAGUGUCCCUGUGAUAGUUUUAGGUGUCAACUUGACAGGACUGAGGGAUGCCUAGAUGGCUGGGGAAGCACUGUUUCUGAGAAGGACCAUGUUUUUGGAAGAGACUGUUUUAUGGGUGAAUUUCAGGGGACACAUUCAUCAUGGCAGUGGCAGUAUAAAGAGAGACACAAAAGCGUGUUCUCUCUCUCUGCCAUGUGAGACUACCACACAAAGACUGCCAUCUGCAAACCAGAAGCAGGUGGGCUCUCCUCAGACACCAGAUCUGCCUGCACCUUGAUCUUGGCCUUGCCAGCCUUCAGAACUCUAAGAAAGAAAUGGUAGCAUGGCUUGGUCUAAGUUGGAAGGCCUGAGAAACAAGGAAGCAUAUGGUGGAACUGAGUUCAAGGAUAAAGACUUGAGAAUACCUACUCAGUGGACUGAGUAGGGAAGAUCAACCCUCAAUGUAGGCAGGCACUAUCCAAUCACCUGAGGGCCCAGAUGGAACAAAAAGGUGGAAGAAGGGUGAAUUCUCUCUUCCAGAGCUGUGACACCCUUCUCCUCAUGCCCUUGUACCACACAACUCUAGGUCCUUUGGCCUUUGGACUCUGACACUUGCACCAGUGGCCCUCUGGGGCUCUCAAGCCUUUAGCCUUGAACUGAGUUACACCAUGUGCUUCCUUGUUUCUCAGGCCUUCCAACUUGGAUCAGGGCAUGCCACCAGCUUCUCUGAUUCUCCAGCUUGCAGAUGGCAUAUUGUGACCCUGACAUUUAAUAACUACGACUUUGGUCUUAAGCAAUUUUCUUCCUCUGUGGAUUGAUAUUUGGAUAUCAAUGUGGAUAAUAAUUUCUCACCAAGGUAACUGUUGUGAGGUAAAAAUGAGUUAACAUAAGUAAAACCUAGCACAUGCAAACCAUCCGAAAUGGUUAAUACUUACUAUUAGUACUU
rnacentral:lncRNA from 1 species